AUGGAUUUGAGUUACUAAAUAAAAUUGGUUUGGAGGCACGAAAGAGUGCUGAAGCAGGUUAUAUCGAAUCAGGGCUUGCAACGCCCAAAAGUUUGGAUGCUGAUCAUGAACAGAAGAAUAUUAGAAUGGUGGACUCAACAUUAACUGAUGUGAAGAAAGUAACAAAAGAUCUAUUAAGUCAAACUGAGUCUGUUUUAGGGGCAUUGAUGGUUCUGACAGCAACAAUUUCUCAAUUGAACAAGGAAGCAAAGCUUAUAGGAAAGAAAGAUACUAAAGAUGAGGGCUCAAAGAAAGAGGGAGAGAAGCUUGGUAGUUCAGGGGAUGGAUCAUUGUUAGAUAAUAGGAAUUCUGAGGAAAUGAAAGCCCUUUUCGCAAGUGCAGAAAGUGCCAUGGAAGCUUGGGCAAUGCUUGCUACAUCACUUGGCCAUCCUAGUUUCAUAAAGUCAGAAUUUGAAAAGUUAUGUUUCUUAGAUAACGAGUCUACAGACACACAGGUUGCAAUUUGGCGUGAUUUUAUGCGGAGGAGACUAGUUGUUGCCUUCAGGGGCACAGAACAAUCAAGAUGGAAG
rnacentral:misc_RNA from 1 species